rnacentral:rRNA from 1 species
UAACACAUGGGUACCUACCUUCCAGUGAGGGAUACCGGCGAGAAAUCGCCGACAAUACCGCAUACGCUUGUGGCAACACAAGCAAAGUGACGCAAGUCACGCUGGAAGAUGGGCCUGUGGCCGAUUAGCUAGUUGGGGGGGUAACGGCUUCCCAAGGCAACGAUCGGUAGCUGGUCUGAGAGGACGAUCAGCCACACUGGGAUUGAGAACGGCCCAG